ACUCUUUAUGUAAUUUUCCUUUUUCAUUAAUAAAAUUGUCUUUUUGUUAAUGUCAAAAGGGGAAAGAUAAGGGGAUAUGGCAUUUCGUUUUUAUGCAUUUUAUUUUAAAAUAUUUUAUGCAUAAAUUGAGGGGGAACUCAAAAAUAACUUGUAUAAUAUUUGGCAUAGUCAAAUUAUAUUUUUAUGCAUAUCGCCAUAUUGGUUU
rnacentral:lncRNA from 1 species